GUAGUAAUCUGGUUGAUCCUGCCAGUAGUCAUAUGCUUGUCUCAAAGAUUAAGCCAUGCAUGUGUAAGUAUAAGUAUUAUACGGCGAAACUGCGAAUGGCUCAUUACAUCAGUUAUAAUUUACUUGAUAAUCGAAAGUUACAUGGAUAACCGUGACAAAUUACAGCUAAUACAUGCAGUCAGACCUGGUCCAAGGGUCGUAAUUAUUAGUACCAAACCAUUUCCGAAAGGAGUGUGAUGAUUCAUAGUAAUCGAACGAAUCGCAGGUAUAUGCGAUAAGUCAUUCAAGUUUCUGCCCUAUCAGCUUUGGAUGGUAGUGUAUUGGACUACCAUGGCAGUCACGGGUAACGGAGAAUUAGGGUUCGAUUCCGGAGAGGGAGCCUGAGAAACGGCUACCACAUCUACGGAAGGCAGCAGGCGCGCAAAUUGCCCAAUCCCGACACGGGGAGGCAGUGACAAGAAAUAACAACUCUAGGAUUUCUUAGAAGUGUAAUGAGGAUAAUUUACAAACCUUACCGAAUGCAAUUGGAGGGCAAGUCUGGUGCCAGCAGCCGCGGUAAUUCCAGCUCCACGAGCAUGUACGUAAGUUGUUGCAGUUAAAAAGCUCGUAGUUGAAAUUCUGGUUGUUUUGGUCCUAAGCCUUGUUGUAAAGGUACCAGCAGUCAUCCGCUUGCAAACAUAUGUUCGAUCUUCACCGGUUGGCUAUGUGAGUAAGCAAUUUACCUUGAGAAAAACAGAGUGUUCCAGGCAGGUUUGUCCGGAAUGCAUUAGCAUGGAAUAAUAGAACAUGACUGAAGUCUAUUUAUUGGUUUAAGGCUUUAGUAAUGAUUAAUAGGAACAGUCGGGGGCAUUCGUACUCAGCAGUCAGAGGUGAAAUUCUAAGAUUUGCUGAAGACGAACUAAUGCGAAAGCAUUUGCCAAGGAUGUUUUCAUUAAUCAAGAACGAAAGUUAGGGGAUCAAAGACGAUCAGAUACCGUCCUAGUCUUAACUAUAAACUAUACCGACUCGGAUUCAGAUGAAUAUUAAAGUUCAUUUGGGACCGUAGGAGAAAUCAAAGUCUUUGGGUUCUGGGGGAGUAUGGUCGCAAGGCUGAAACUUAAAGGAAUUGACGGUUUUGCACCACCAUGGAGUGGAGUCUGCGGCUUAAUUUGACUCAACACUGGGAAACUCAUCAGGGCAAGAAGAUUUUAGGAUUGACAGAUUGAGAGUUCUUUCUUGAUUGGUCUAGUGGUGGUGCAUGGCCGUUCUUAGUUGGUGGAGUGAUUUGUCUGGUUAAUUCCGUUAACGAACGAGACCUUAACCUGCUAACUAGUACCCUGAUCCUCAAUCGGGGUUACUUCUUAGAGGGACUAUGUGAUGUAAUCACAUGGAAGUUUGAGGCAAUAACAGGUCUGUGAUGCCCUUAUAUGUCCUGGGCUGCACGCGUGCUACAAUGGCACUUUCAACAAGUAUUUCCUGACCCGAAAGGAUUUGGGUAAUCUUUUUAGUGAGUGCCGUGCUUGGGAUAGAUCUUUGUAAUUGUGGAUCUUGAACGAGGAAUUCCUAGUAAGCGCAAGUCAUCAUCUCGUGCUGAUUACGUCCCUGCAAAAUGUACACACCGCCCGUCGCUUUUACCGAUUGAGUGUUCAGGUGAGCCUUCUUGAUAGUUUCAACUAAAAAUUAAACAAACCUUAGCACUUAGAGGAAAAAGAAGUCGUAACAAGGUUUCCGUAGGUGAACCUGCGGAAGGAUCAUUCAUAAU
rnacentral:rRNA from 1 species